UUGCNGGUUCGACGAUUCCUACGGGAGGCAGCAGUCGGGAAUUUUGCUCAAUGGGGGAAACCCUGAAGCAGCAACGCCGCGUGAGGGAUGAAGGCCUUCGGGUUGUAAACCUCUUUUCUCAGGGACGAUGAUGACGGUACCUGAGGAAUAAGCCACGGCUAACUACGUGCCAGCAGCCGCGGUAAUACGUAGGUGGCAAGCGUUGUCCGGAUUUACUGGGCGUAAAGAGCGCGCAGGCGGUCGAGUAAGUCGAAUGUGAAAGCCCCCGGCUCAACUGGGGAUCGUCAUUCGAUACUGUUCGACUUGAAGAUGGGAGAGGGAAGCGGAAUUUCAGGUGUAGUGGUGAAAUGCGUAGAUAUCUGAAGGAACACCAGUGGCGAAGGCGGCUUUCUGGCCCACUCUUGACGCUGAGGCGCGAAAGCUAGGGGAGCGAACGGGAUUAGAUACCCCGGUAGUCCUAGCUGUAAACGAUGAGAACUAGAUGUCGGGAAGAAUUGCUUUUCGGUGUCGCAGCUAACGCGUUAAGUUCUCCGCCUGGGGAGUACGCCGGCAACGGUAAAACUCAAAGGAAUUGACGG
rnacentral:rRNA from 1 species